rnacentral:rRNA from 1 species
UACAGAGGGGGCAAGCGUUGUUCGGAAUUACUGGGCGUAAAGGGCGCGUAGGCGGCCCGCUAAGUCGAACGUGAAAUCCCCGAGCUCAACUCGGGAACUGCGUCCGAUACUGGUGGGCUUGAAUCCGGGAGAGGGAUGCGGAAUUCCAGGUGUAGCGGUGAAAUGCGUAGAUAUCAGGAGGAACACCGGUGGCGAAGGCGGAUCUCUGGGCCUUACCUGACGCUGAGGCGCGAAAGCUAGGGGGAGCGAACAGG